GACGAACGCUGGCGGCGUGCUUAACACAUGCAAGUCGAACGGAAAGGCCCUGCUUUUGUGGGGUGCUCGAGUGGCGAACGGGUGAGUAACACGUGAGUAACCUGCCCUUGACUUUGGGAUAACUUCAGGAAACUGGGGCUAAUACCGGAUAGGAGCUCCUGCUGCAUGGUGGGGGUUGGAAAGUUUCGGCGGUUGGGGAUGGACUCGCGGCUUAUCCGCUUGUUGGUGGGGUAGUGGCUUACCAAGGCUUUGACGGGUAGCCGGCCUGAGAGGGUGACCGGCCACAUUGGGACUGAGAUACGGCCCAGACGCCUACGGGAGGCAGCAGUGGGGAAUAUGGCACAAUGGGCGGAAGCGUGAUACAGCAACGCCGCGUGCGGGAUGACGGCCUUCGGGUUAUAAACCGCUUUCGCCGGUGACGAAGCGUGAGUGACGGUAAUGGGUAAAGAAGCACCGGCUAACUACGUG
rnacentral:rRNA from 1 species